CGGGACGGGUGAGUAAUGCUUGGGAAUCUAGCUUAUGGAGGGGGAUAACUACGGGAAACUGUAGCUAAUACCGCGUAGUAUCGGAAGAUGAAAGUGUGGGACCUUCGGGCCACAUGCCAUAGGGUGAGCCCAAGUGGGAUUAGGUAGUUGGUGAGGUAAAGGCUCACCAAGCCGACGAUCUCUAGCUGGUCUGAGAGGAUGACCAGCCACACUGGGACUGAGACACGGCCCAG
rnacentral:rRNA from 1 species